UACGGGGGGAGCAAGCGUUGUUCGGAUUUACUGGGCGUAAAGGGCGCGUAGGCGGCCAGCACAAGUCAGUUGUGAAAUCUCCGGGCUUACUCGGAAAGGUCAACUGAUACUGUGCGGCUAGAGUGCAGAAGGGGCAACUGGAAUUCUCGGUGUAGCGGUGAAAUGCGUAGAUAUCGAGAGGAACACCUGCGGCGAAGGCGGGUUGCUGGGCUGACACUGACGCUGAGC
rnacentral:rRNA from 1 species